GAUGAACGCUAGCGGCAGGCUUAAUACAUGCAAGUCGAGGGGCAGCAUGAUUGUAGCAAUACAAUUGAUGGCGACCGGCAAACGGGUGCGGAACACGUACACAACCUCCCAAUAAGUAGGGAAUAGCCCAGAGAAAUUUGGAUUAAUACCCCGUAACAUACCGAUGUGGCAUCAUAUUGUUAUUAUAGAUUUUUCGCUUAUUGAUGGGUGUGCGGCUGAUUAGAUAGUUGGCGGGGUAACGGCCCACCAAGUCUACGAUCAGUAGCUGAUGUGAGAGCAUGAUCAGCGACACGGGCACUGAGACACGGGCCCGACUCCUACGGGAGGCAGCAGUAAGGAAUAUUGGACAAUGGACGCAAGUCUGAUCCAGCCAUGCCGCGUGAAGGAUUAAGGUCCUCUGGAUUGUAAACUUCUUUUAUAAGGGACGAAAAAAGGCUUUUCUAAGUCGUCUGACGGUACCUUAUGAAUAAGCACCGGCUAACUCCGUGCCAGCAGCCGCCGUAAGAC
rnacentral:rRNA from 1 species